rnacentral:rRNA from 1 species
GACGAACCGUGCAAACGUUGUUCGGAAUCACUGGGCUUAAAGGGCGCGUAGGCGGUCGAUCACGUCCGGGGUGAAAUCUUUCGGCUUAACCGGAAAAGGGCCUUGGAUACGGAUCGGCUGGAGGGAGGUAGGGGCAGGUGGAACUUCCAGUGGAGCGGUAGAAAUGCGUUGAUAUUGGAAGGAACGCCGGUGGCGAAAGCGGCGCGCUGGACCCCUUCUGACGCUGAGGCGCGAAAGCCAGGGGAGCAAACGGG